ACGGUCCUAAGGUAGCGAAAUUCCUUGUCGGGUAAGUUCCGACCCGCACGAAAGGCGUAAUGAUUUGAGCACUGUCUCGACAAUGCAUCCGGUGAAAUUGAAGUACCAGUGAAGAUGCUGGUUACCUGCGCCAGGACGGAAAGACCCCAUGGAGCUUUACUCUAGUUUGGUACUGGGGUCCGGUAUUGCAUGUACAGGAUAGGUGGGAGACUGAGAAGUGUGAACGCCAGUUUGCACGGAGUCAUUGUUGGGAUACCACCCCUGCAGUAUUGGGCUUCUAACAGGUAGCCGUAAACCGGCUAAUGGACAAUGCCAGGCGGGGAGUUUGACUGGGGCGGUCGCCUCCGAAAGGGUAUCGGAGGCGCUCAAAGGUUCCCUCAGAAUGGUUGGAAACCAUUCGAAGAGUGCAAAGGCAGAAGGGAGCUUGACUGCGACACCGACGGGUGGAGCAGGUACGAAAGUAGGACUUAGUGAUCCGGUGGUAUAAAGUGGGAUUGCCAUCGCUCAACGGAUAAAAGCUACCCUGGGGAUAACAGGCUUAUCACUCCCAAGAGUUCACAUCGACGGAGUGGUUUGGCACCUCGAUGUCGGCUCAUCGCAUCCUGGGGCUGUAGUAGGUCCCAAGGGUUGGGCUGUUCGCCCAUUAAAGCGGUACGCGAGCUGGGUUCAGAACGUCGUGAGACAGUUCGGUCCCUAUCCGGCGCGGGCGCAGGAUAUCUGAGAGGAGCCGUCCUUAGUACGAGAGGACCGGGACGGACUGACCUCUGGUGUACCGGCUGGCAUGCCAAUGCCACGGCCGGGUAGCCAAGUCGGGCAGGGAUAAACGCUGAAGGCAUCUAAGCGUGAAGCCCCCCUCAAGAUGGGAUAUCCCACUGAGUAAUCAGGUAAGACCCCUUGAAGACGACAAGGUUGAUAGGCUGGAGAUGUAAGUACAGCAAUGUAUUCAGUUGACCAGUACUAAUAGGUCGAGGGCUUAACCGA
rnacentral:rRNA from 1 species